rnacentral:misc_RNA from 1 species
UUUAGGUUUUUCUUUUGUUUUAUGUAAAAACAAAAAUUAUAUAUAAAAAAAAGAACAAAUUGAAGAGGCAACGCAUCUUUGACCCAUCGCCUCUUGCCUCUAAGGUCUCAGGCAUGCGCUUUUUCUCAUUUGCCUCACCUAGCGAGGCAUCAGGGCCUUGACUCGUCUCGCCUCACCUGGUACCUUUUUGUGCCUUUUACAACAUUGCUAUGAGAUGGAAUCACCUGAUAUAGGUUGCACACCUUUGCUUCUUUAUGUUCUGGAAAUUGGAACACAAAUCAUCCUAGACAUGCAGUUGUAAUAGACUAUGUUCCAUUGACCUUAAGGCUUAUAUAUCCUCUACUUGAUAAAAAUUUUCAAAAUAGAUCUUGCUGUAGCAUCCUACUAUAUAACUUGAUGGAAAUCAAAUGAACUUGACCAACAGUUGUUGGACUUGGUGACAAUGAUUAGCAUGGAUUUAAUCAACAAAGGGGUUGAAAUAUUUGAAGUUUGUUGUGUUUUCUGUGAAGUGCCCAUACUUUGAUAUUGAAGUUGAUAAUCAUAGCAUCCAUGCGUAUGCCAUUGUUAUCGCCAAAUCAGGUUGCUUUCCUUAGGAAUUCUACAGCAUCUGUGUUCUCAUUUUAAGUUAGAAAUUCUGUCUUUUAAACAUGACGUAUCUGUAUCAAAUCUAUGCAUUGUAUUCCUUUGAUUUGUCGAUCUUUGGAGUUGUGAGAGAGUGAAAACUAAUACCAUUAAAUUGUUCUAAUGAUUUGAGGGGAUUGCCAAUCUAAAAUGCAAAUCACCUUCCUUCUAAAUCCAUCAAGUCCGUUUAUACAGUAGAGUCGGUCUCAAAACUUUAGAGAAGUGCAGCUAUAAAACUUCUCUUUGUUUUUUAAUUGGAUCUUUCUGUAUUGUUGAGAGCAGCGUAAGAUUUUUUUUUAUGUUAUAAUUUGUAAUUCAUGGGUUAUUUAUUGUUGCGUGACAGGAAGGACUUCAGAAAUUUUCAACCAAAAAUAAAAAUAUUCCUUGGAGGAAAAUUUUAGAGUUUGGUCGAGAUGUAUUUCAUGUAAGUCGAAGUCCUGCUGAUCUUAAAGAUAAAUGGAGGCAAAUUGUGGCCAGAGAGUCUUUAACAACUAAAGUCGGUCAUCUUGAUUCAUAGGACUAGGAAGUGGAAGGUUAAUUUUGCCUUUUGUCGUUAAUAGUGUGAAUAUAUGGGGCACCCAAGUAUGUGUGGAUACAGUCUGUGCCUUGUGAUUUUGUUGAAGCCCUUUCUCAGUUUCUCUUAGUAGGAAAGACUGUGAACGAAAGAUGGAAGUGGUAGGUUAAUUUUGCCUUUCGACAACAGUAUGAAUAUAUGUGGCCCCCAUGUACAUAUGUGGACACAAUGUGGGCCUUAUGAUUUUUGUUGAAGCCCUUUCUCUUAGAACAAAAGGGAGUAAACGGAAGGUGGCGCCAUGGUGGCAAGUUUCAUUUUCCUGUAGAUAUAAAUAGUAUGUUGAUAGUUUUGAAUCAAAUGGCAUAUGGAAUGUAAUUGAAAGUGCUUGACUUGAUUUUACUGGGUUGGUGAUAUGAGCCUUAAACUGUAUCAAAUGUGGAUGUUACCAUUGCCAUGUUUUGAACACCAUGGGUGUAACCAUGCUAUAGUGGGACAAGUAAAAUGGCAAAACAAAGAACAAUAAUAUUCAUUCCUUGUCUUCAUGAUGAAAAAUCUGGUUUUUGAUUAGUGGAUUUGUAGGCUUGAAAGAAAACAAAUUACACGUACUCAUGUGAUACUCUUGAAUGUGCGUGUGCUUAGUAGAUCGUAGAAAUAUGUAACAACAAUAAAACAAUAGAAAAUCAUCACUCUAUUAUAAUUAUGUUCAUUAUAUGAAAAAUUCUUCACAAAGCCUGUUAAGAAUUGAUCCUCAACUGAAUAAAAAGAGGCUUGAUCCAGCUCAAUACAAUGAAAUUUGCAAAACUCGAAAU